rnacentral:rRNA from 1 species
UCGAGAAUCUUCGGCAAUGGGCGAAAGCCUGACCGAGCGACGCCGCGUGCGGGACGAAGGCCUUCGGGUUGUAAACCGCUGUCGGGAGGGAUGAAGUGCACGGGGGCUAUCCCCUGUGUUUGACAGAGCUCCGGAGGAAGCACGGGCUAAGUUCGUGCCAGCAGCCGCGGUAAUACGAACUGUGCGAACGUUAUUCGGAAUCACUGGGCUUAAAGGGUGCGUAGGCGGCGCUGUAAGUCAGGUGUGAAAUCCCCCGGCUCAACCGGGGAAUGGCGCUUGAAACUGCAGUGCUUGAGUGAGGUAGGGGUGCAUGGAACUUCCGGUGGAGCGGUGAAAUGUGUAGAUAUCGGAAGGAACGCCGGCGGCGAAAGCGGUGCACUGGGCCUUGUCUGACGCUGAGGCACGAAAGCUAGGGUAGCGAACGGG